GAAUCCGAGAGAUUAUGAUGGAGGUAUAUGAAUGCACUCCCUUUAUAAACUCGUAUUUUCUCCUUUACUUUCUCUCUCUUCACCCUGGGAUCUCUAUAACUUCUCCGACCACCCCGAACACUUCUCUGACCUCCCAGAACCACCCUCAAACCCAGGUUUCCGGUUGAUCUUCAACCGGAACCUUCAAACCUUCAAACCCUUUCCCCAAAAAACUACACUUACCUUUAUACACGGGUUCCCCGAAUGAACCCUAGGGUUCAUAUGAUGAACCCUAAUUAAAUCUUCAAUCCAGAAACCCCAAACUAAAGAAUGCUAACCUCCAUCCCUAGGAACCCUAACUUGGCUUUAUCAUGAACCUUAAGAACCCUAACCUACGAAGAACCCUAACCCUAGUUGCUGCCCAUAAAUCCCUAAUUUUCCCUAUAUCAAACCUUGAACCACCGAUUUACCCUUUUUGAACAUAAAUCGAACAAUAACAACCCCCAUAUUUCACAAUUCAACGCAAACAUAUUCCUGCAAAAACAUUGAUAUGCAUACGAAACAAGUAAACAAAGUACUCAAGAGCUCACAACCAACCUUCUGAAUGGAGAAUUAUUCUGGUUAAGAGGUACAAAAGUUGGGGUCUAACUUAGAAGAAUUAGGGUUUCAAUGUGAAACCCUAAAUCUCAAAUUAAUUUAAGCUUUAUGUGCGGGUUUGGUUUGCAGCAAUGAAGAUUCCUUUCUUAGAGUUGUUUUUUUUCUUUUCGUGUUUUAGAAAUAGGUUUAUAUAGAUUAAUUUUUUAGGUUUAGAACUUAAUUAGAUUAUCUGAUUUAGGAAGUUUAGAUUUGAUUGGGAUCUGAUUGAGUUAGAUUUGAUUGUAAUUUUGAUUUUGUUUAGAAAUAGAAAUUAGGUUUGAAUUGUAACAGCAAUGUGAUGUAUUUGGUCCAUAUUUGAUUCGUGAUUUCAAUGUAAGUUGAAAGUUUGGAUGGAAUUGAAAAUUGCAGUUUUUUUAA